rnacentral:rRNA from 1 species
CACGCAGCUUGCUGCUAUUAGCUGACGAGUGGCGGACGGGUGAGUAAUGUCUGGGAAACUGCCUGAUGGAGGGGGAUAACUACUGGAAACGGUGGCUAAUACAGCAUAACGUCGCAAGACCAAAGAGGGGGACCUUCGGGCCUCUUGCCAUCAGAUGUGCCCAGAUGGGAUUAGCUUGUUGGUGAGGUAACGGCUCACCAAGGCGACGAUCCCUAGCUGGUCUGAGAGGAUGACCAGCCACACUGGAACUGAGACACGGUCCAGACUCCUACGGGAGGCAGCAGUGGGGAAUAUUGCACAAUGGGCGCAAGCCUGAUGCAGCCAUGCCGCGUGUAUGAAGAAGGCCUUCGGGUUGUAAAGUACUUUCAGCGGGGAGGAAGGUGUUGUGGUUAAUAACCGC